UUUUUUUUGGCCGACGUCCCUGUAGCGUACCGAGCAAAAACGUUGGGCCCGGGAUCUCCGAUCUCGUUCCCGAUUUACCGCCUCUCCCAUAUUCCUUUCGGCUUUCCCCGCCGGCCGCCGGCCGCGAGCCGCAGCCGAGCACCACCCGCCACCGCAGCCUCCCGCGAGCCACAAGCUCCACCCGCCACGGUCUUCUCGAAGGAGAGGCCUUCUUCGACCAGGUCAAAUCGUUCCCCAAAGCCUACCGCUGAAGAAGUCAAUCGAGCAAACAUGAAUCCCUUGCUGCGUUCCGCUGUCCGCCGUGUGCUGCGGCCGGCUGCUCGGCGUGCUUGUGAAGCUCAGAGACGAUGCAGCGAGAGGGAGAGAGCCAUCGCGGAGGUUAAGCGGAUGACACGGGACCACCUGCGUGCGCGGGACUCUGCGGCAGCAAAGUACAGUCAUUUGCCGAUGUACAACGGCGUCAUGUGUGGUGUUCUAAUCGCUACAGUCAUCCAUUUGUUCAAGCCGCGAGAAAAGAGUUCCCAGGAGAUAUGGCUGGAGAACAAUGCUAAGUCCAGAGAAGGAUCUGGAGCAAAUUAACAUGGCAAUGGCUGGUGUCGUCUUCAGAGUACUCAGCUGCUACUUGGUAGAGAUGAAGCCGCUUCGCCAGUGGACAGGAUUGAUGAGUUCCCACAACCUCUCACUUGUAUGACAUCUGAGAAUCGAGAAAAGAUACAUAUUUUUCUUUGAA